rnacentral:rRNA from 1 species
ACUCAAAUGAAUUGACGGGGGAUCGCACAAGCGGUGGAGCAUGUGGUUUAAUUCGACGAUAACCGGAGAACCUUACCAGGGUUUGACAUCUACGGAAUCUCUUGGAAACAAGAGAGUGCCCGCAAGGGAGCCGUAAGACAGGUGUUGCACGGCUGUCGUCAGCUCGUGGCGUGAGCUGUACCCUUAAGUGGGUAAACGAGCGAAACCCUCAUCGUCUGUUGGAUUUUUCAGACGAGACUGCCGGCUUUUCGCUGGAGGAAGGUGGGGAUGACGCCAAGUCAGCGUGGCCCUUACACCCUGGGCUACACACGUGCUACAAUGGCAUCGACAAAGGGUUGCAAAAUCGCAAGAUGGAGCUAAUCCCACCAAAAGAUGCCUCAGUUCGGAUUGGAGGCUGCAACUCGCCUCCAUGAAGCCGGAAUCGCUAGUAACCGUGGGUCAGCUAUACCACGGUGAAUACGUUCUCGAUCCUUGUACACACCGCCCGU